CCAAAGGUAGGGAUCGUCUACUACUGCUCUGAAGCAAACUGUGCCUCCUAGGCACAGUAUGACAAGUGCUACUGCCAUCUCAACUAUGUGCCUGCACUAGGCUGUGCUCUCUCAUAGACACAGUCAAUGGGAUGGCAGGUGCGGGCACCAGGCAGGAUGGGACAUAGUCAUCACCUCCAGGAAACAGAAAGUAAAGCAGUAAGAAACCAGGAAUGAUGGCAUGAGACACCCAUGCACCCACCUAAAAGCUGAAGAUUCAUCCCAAGGGGAGCAUGGCCCUGCAUCAAGAUCUGAAAAUCCUAACCUACUGAUUACAGUACUCGGUUCACUCAAUUCCACAGAUGAGAAGGAUCCUUUAGUUAAUAGUGAUAGCAUCAUUGCUUGGCUGCCAAACUCAAUCAAGAAAGCUUGAAUCUUUGUCUUCAUGGAAGAUCAAGAGAAAACAUUGAUGGCAAAAAUCUAUUUAGUAUUAUCUUAGAAAUCCACACAUAUUUCAAGUCUUUAUGAACAAGUAAAAAAAAAAAAAGUGGUUUAUACCACAGCCUACAGGAUGGAGAUUAGACAAAGAAAAAACUUCUGGCAUUUAAAAUUAAA